GACGAACGCUGGCGGCGUGCUUAACACAUGCAAGUCGAACGAAGUGGCGAACGGGUGAGUAACGCGUAAUCAACCUGCCCUUCAGAGGGUGACAACAGUUGGAAACGACUGCUAAUACCGCAUACUGAUGGUGGGGAUUGCGUCUGAUUAGCUAGUUGGCGGGGUAACGGCCCACCAAGGCGCUGAUCAGUAGCCGGUCUGAGAGGAGGAACGGCCACAUUGGUACUGAGGCACGGCCCAAACGCCUACGGGAGGCAGCAGUGGGGAAUCUUCCGAAAUGGACGAAAGUCUGACGGAGCAACGCCGCGUGAGUGAUGACGGCCUUCGGGUUGUAAAGCUCUGUUAAUCGGGACGCGGUACCGGAAUAGAAAGCCACGGCUAACUACGUGCCAGCAGCCGCGGUAAUUC
rnacentral:rRNA from 1 species